CCUACGGGAGGCAGCAGUGAGGAAUAUUGGUCAAUGGACGAGAGUCUGAACCAGCCAAGUCGCGUGAAGGAUGACUGCCCUAUGGGUUGUAAACUUCUUUUAUAAAGGAAUAAAACGCGGCACGUGUGCCUUUUUGCAUGUACUUUAUGAAUAAGGAUCGGCUAACUCCGUGCCAGCAGCCGCGGUAAUACGGAGGAUCCGAGCGUUAUCCGGAUUUAUUGGGUUUAAAGGGAGCGGAGAUGGGUUGUUAAGUCAGGUGGGAAAGUUUGAGGCUCAACCGUAAAAUUGCAAUUGAUACUGGUAAUCUUGAGUACAGGAGAGGUAGGCGGAAUGCGUGGUGUAGCGGUGAAAUGCUUAGAUAUCACGAAGAACCCCGAUUGCGAAGGCAGCUUACUAAACUGUGACUGACACUGAUGCACGAAAGUGUGGGUAUCAAACAGGAUUAGAUACCCUUGUAGUC
rnacentral:rRNA from 1 species